UACGAAGGGGGCGAGCGUUGUUCGGAUUUACUGGGCGUAAAGGGCGCGUAGGCGGCCCUCCUUGUCGCGUGUGAAAACCCAGGGCUCAACCCUGGGCCUGCAUUCGAUACGGGUAGACUAGAGUAUGGCAGGGGAGACUGGAAUUCCUGGUGUAGCGGUGAAAUGCGCAGAUAUCAGGAGGAACACCGGUGGCGAAGGCGGGUCUCUGGGCCAAAACUGACGCUGAGGAGCGAAAGCGUGGGGAGCGAACAGG
rnacentral:rRNA from 1 species